rfam:TPA: Bos taurus chromosome 5, whole genome shotgun sequence.
UCCCUGGCAGUCCAGUGGUUAAGAUGCUGUGCUCCCAAUGCAGAGGGUCCAGGUUUGAACCCUGGUUGGGGAA